UACAGAGGUCUCAAGCGUUGUUCGGAUUCAUUGGGCGUAAAGGGUGCGUAGGCGGUCGCGCAAGUCGGAUGUGAAAUCUCAGGGCUCAACCCUGAAACUGCAUUCGAUACUGCGUGGCUAGAGUGCUGGAGAGGAGACUGGAAUUUACGGUGUAGCAGUGAAAUGCGUAGAUAUCGUUUGGAACGCCAAAGGUGAAAACAGGUCGCUGGGGAUGAGCUGACGCUGAGACACGAAAGCCAGGGGAGCAAACGGG
rnacentral:rRNA from 1 species